CCAUCCACCUUGUGGCACUGUGUAAUAGGGUGGGUUCUUUAGCAACUCUCUCACACUAAGAGCAUGACGUUAUCGUUCUUAGUGUGAGAGCAUGAAGUUUACGUUCUAUGGUGGCUUGAAUGAGAUUGUGUUCGGCAUUCGCGACGAUUUUCUAAACGAAAGAACAGAAGGUUCUUGAAGAACAAUGUGUGAGUGUGUUAAAUUUUGUUUUAAAGGCAGUGAAAAAGAAGCGGCCGGAGGCAUGAGCCAGCAAUUCAUAGUACCACGACAAUGCACCUGCACAUGCGUUGUUCCUUAUCAACUAGUUUUUGACAAAACACGCGACGAUUAUUGUUUCGCAGCCCCCCCCCCCCAUCAGUCUCCCGAUUUGGUUCCUGCGGACUUUUUCUUGUUUAAAAAAACUAAAAUCGACCUUGAAAGGCCACAGUUUUUAAACAAUAGAAGAGAUUAAGAAAAAUUCGCUAUGGGACCCCUACGCACUUUUCCAAAAACAAAAAAUCGCCACAAACGCUGGACACAAUUUCAUUCAAGCCAUCAUAAAAUAUAAACUAAGAACGAUAGCGUGUGAGAGAGUUAUUAAAGAACCCCACUAUACAGUGCCACAAGGCGGAUGGCCCACGCCAUCGCAUUCGAGCGCUUUUUUAAAAUUCGGUUUCUUUAUGGGCAGCCCUUGUAUGUAUAAAUAAACAUCUCUCUACAGGAUCUAUAUAUAUGUGUGUGUAUGUGUGUAUAAUAUAAAACUUAUAUAUCGCAGAAUUUGUUAAUUAUUAAUUUUAAGUUUGAGAAUAGAUAAUUUAAAAAGAAAUAAUUUGUUUAUACGUAACUCACAUAACUCCCAUAAUAGAUUUUUCAUAUUACCAAAUGUACAAAAUUUAUAAAAUGUUUUUCAUUUCUAUAAAGAAUAUAUACAUUUAUAUAAAGAAAAAAAAGAAAGAGCAUAUAUUACAUAUAUUAUUUAAUAAAUAAUACUAUAGUAACAAAAUAUCAUUUAUUUUGUAUUACAAAUGUACAGUAUAAAUAAUAUGAUUUGUGUAAUACCUCCUGCAUGGAUUUAUUGGAAGAGAAAAUAAAAAAAAAAUAUAGGUAU